rnacentral:lncRNA from 1 species
UCGAGUCUACAAGGAAUUUUAGGUCAACACCAUAUCAAAUGGGAGACAACCAUGCAGAAGAUAAACACAAAUAGCUGCUCAGAAACCAGGAGGGAACUCUGACUGGGAGCGAGUCGGAUGGCGACUGAUGGGGAAACCAAUGCGAUCUACUGGGGAAAGAUCUUACUCUGCUGAAGAUCAACCCUGUUGGGGAUACAGAAACACUGCCAGGAAAUAACACGCCGCAAGG